rnacentral:misc_RNA from 1 species
AUAAGAAACCUUAACAGGGUAGGAGAAUUCUUCAAGCCUGCCAUCUUGUAGAAUGAGUUUUGCAGUAGCUACGUGGGUAGAUUCACAGGAAUUACAAAUACCCAUUUAGCUUAAAGAUCAAAAACUGGGAGAAAUUACAAGUUCUUAGUAAAAGAAUGUGUGGAAAGUUUGCAUCUUGAGAAGGUUGGAGAAAAUGGAGGAGAUGUAUAUAUAGUGGCCGGAGAGAAAUGGGCUCGUCAUCUGU